ensembl:lncRNA
CUGAGCUCCUGCGGAAAACUUGCCCGUUUCCUCCCCCUCCGCCGGGCGAAGCCCGCAGCCCCGCUGUCAGACCGCUCCCGCUGCGCGCUGCCGCCCUCCCGCCCCGCACCUGCCGCCCGCGCUGGGCGCUUCCCGACGGCGCCGGGCUCGGGCGGUUGGGCCGGCCCAGAGUUCUGAUCCCGCUUUCAGCUGGAGAAAGGCGACGGCGGCGCGCACGUGUGGUGUGAAGAAAGAGCCUUUAUCGCGGUGCUGAGGUUCGUGUUCGUGGUGCGCGGAAGCGCUUGGGCAGGGCGUGCUACGGGUAGCGGCGAGCGCGGUGCCCGGCGCCGCAGCCGGCUGCUUACUGACACCUCGGGAUCUGUUUUACUCGUAAUGCUCCUUAAUGCUGCACGUGAUGGCGGAUUAUGGCUCUCUUAAGAGAGAUUUAAGCGGUCUCGCGAAGAUCAGCUGUGCUCAGGUUUAUUACUCGGCGGGGGGCAGCAGCCCGGGGCUGGGGGUGCGGAUGGGAAGUGCAAGUUAGCCGCUUGGUUGCGGUGCUUUUGUGGGUGAUCGGGAGCUGUCAGCGCUGUGGUAGCCCCGUUCCCGCUCAGCGUCCCGCACCGGUGUGCGCUCUGAGCUACCGGUGUGAGCUGCCCUGCUUGGAUCGCGUGCUUCCUGAGAAGCAGAGCGAACUGUAUCAUACCGAAAAGUGUUCUCAGCUUGUGGUUGUCUUAAUCUUUUCUGUUCAAAAUGAAAACAAAAGCCGCUUCAGGAUGGGAACGUCUCGACAGAUUUCGCACGGCUAAGGUUUGCGACAACGGAGCCGUACGCAGCUUUUUGUGUGGGCUGCUGUGCUCUGGGAGCUGAAGCGUGGCCGGAGCUGAGAUGUGCUGUCCCACAGCCGUGUGCACGGGGCAGCCAGGGGCUCCAGCUGUGUUUGCAGAGGAACCGUCCUGCAUCAGAUCCCUGAGAGACAGCGGUGCUCCUCUGGUGUGCUCAGCGGCUGUGUGCUCCAACGGCUGCCAGAAGGGCUCCCUGGGAGGGCACGCUGUUCUGCUGUGCCUCGAUGAAGGGGUGCUGGCCUUAAAACGCACCUGGCCAUAAGUACCAGCAUGGUGAGACGCACGGGGACAGGCUGCUCUUCUUCAGUUCUGCUCUGCUUUUCCAUCCGAGGACUUUAUUGGAUGCUGUGGCGUUAACUAAUCGAGCUGCUUUUAACUUUUUUUCUUUGCUGUUCUGAUCAGAACUAUAUUUCAGCUUCCACUUUAAGCAAGGCAAAAAAGUAAGGCUCGGAGCCACACUGUGGGUGUGCAUGCCUGUCAGCCUGUCUGGCUGUACCGUUGUUAGCCUCCCCGAUACAGGCAGGACCAAAGUGCCUCUCCUGUGCAGAAACUUCUGACAUUACUAUGGGAAAAUCGUGGGCUCUGGAGCAGUGAGGUACUGGAGCAAAUUGCUGUCUCCAGCCUCGCUCCACGUAAACACAAGCACACUUCUAGAAUAUUUAAUUUGCAAUGUCCUCAGCGGAGAGCUACCCCACAGCUCCUGGCAGAAAUCCCAGAAGCAGCAGAUCUGGGGUGCUGGGAGUUGCAGAGGCCAUUGGUGCCUGGUGGGGUGGCUGUCUGAACUGGUUGAGUUGUAGUUUGUCCUGGCACUGGGACAGUUCAAACUGAACAGGUAUUUAAUCUUGCUGAAAGCAAGUCUGCUUUGAACAGUACUCGGUAUGUGUAUGAGCGAUUUAGAGCCUGUUGGGACAUGGCUGUCGAGAGAUCUACAUGGUAGGGAAAUCUCUGUUACUGAAAGUAACCUUUGGUGUAGCUGUACCUCCUAAUAAUUUUUAAGUAAUAUCUGUGUAGUUAUAAUAAAAUCCAGAAUAAAC